rnacentral:rRNA from 1 species
UACGGAGGGUGCAAGCGUUAUCCGGAAUUAUUGGGUUUAAAGGGUCCGUAGGCGGGCCGGUAAGUCAGUGGUGAAAGUCUGCAGCUCAACUGUAGAACUGCCUUUGAUACUGCUGGUCUUGAGUUAUGGUGAAGUUGCCGGAAUAUGUAGUGUAGCGGUGAAAUGCAUAGAUAUUACAUAGAACACCGAUUGCGAAGGCAGGUGACUAACCAUAUACUGACGCUGAUGGACGAAAGCGUGGGGAGCGAACAGG